rnacentral:rRNA from 1 species
AUUAGAUACCCCGGUAGUCCUGNCCGUAAACGAUGGGUACUAGGUGUAGGAGGUAUCGACCCCUUCUGUGCCGGAGUUAACGCAAUAAGUACCCCGCCUGGGGAGUACGACCGCAAGGUUGAAACUCAAAGGAAUUGACGGGGGCCCGCACAAGCGGUGGAGUAUGUGGUUUAAUUCGACGCAACGCGAAGAACCUUACCAGGUCUUGACAUUGAUGGACAGAACCAGAGAUGGUUCCUCUUCUUCGGAAGCCAGAAAACAGGUGGUGCACGGUUGUCGUCAGCUCGUGUCGUGAGAUGUUGGGUUAAGUCCCGCAACGAGCGCAACCCCUAUCUUAUGUUGCCAGCACUUUGGGUGGGGACUCAUGAGAGACUGCCGCAGACAAUGCGGAGGAAGGCGGGGAUGACGUCAAAUCAUCAUGCCCCUUAUGACCUGGGCUACACACGUACUACAAUGGGAGUUAAUAGACGGAAGCGAGAUCGCGAGAUGGAGCAAACCCGAGAAACACUCUCUCAGUUCGGAUCGUAGGCUGCAACUCGCCUACGUGAAGUCGGAAUCGCUAGUAAUCGCAGGUCAGCAUACUGCGGUGAAUACGUUCCCGGGCCUUGUACACACCGCCCGUCACACCACGAAAGUCGGAAGUGCCCAAAGCCGGUGGGGUAACCUUCGGGAGCCAGCCG